rnacentral:snRNA from 1 species
CGAUUUCUUAUUAAUCUUACAGGGCCUUACUAAAGACCCAAAGAACAAUUUUUGAAGCCCUGUCCUUCGGGUCAGGGA